AGGCAGCAGUGGGGAAUAUUGGACAAUGGGGGAAACCCUGAUGCAGCAACGCCGCGUGCACGAUGAAGGCCUUCGGGUCGUAAAGUGCUUUUCGGGGAGAUGAGGAAGGACAGUAUCCCCGGAAUAAGGAUCGGCUAACUACGUGCCAGCAGCCGCGGUAAAACGUAGGAUCCGAGCGUUAUCCGAAUUUACUGGGCGUAAAGCGCGUGCAGGCGGUUCGGUAAGUUGGAUGUGAAAUCUCCCGGCUCAACUGGGAGAGGUCGUUCAAUACUGUCGGACUAGAGGAUGGUAGAGGGAGGUGGAAUUCCCGGUGUAGUGGUGAAAUGCGUAGAUAUCGGGAGGAACACCAGUGGCGAAGGCGGCCUCCUGGGCCAUUCCUGACGCUAAGACGCGAAAGCUAGGGGAGCGAACGGGAUUAGAAACCCCGGUAGUCCUAGCAGUAAACGAUGUGGACUUGGCGUUGGUGGGGUAAAAUCCAUCAGUGCCGGAGCUAACGCGGUAAGUCCACCGCCUGGGGACUACGGCCGCAAGGUUAAAACUCAAAGGAAUUGACGGGGCCCCGCACAAGCAGCGGAGCGUGUGGUUUAAUUCGAUGCUACGCGAAGAACCUUACCCGGGUUUGACAUACUGGUGGUAGGGAUCCGAAAGGUGACCGACCCUUCGGGGAGCCAGUACAGGUGCUGCAUGGCUGUCGUCAGCUCGUGUCGUGAGAUGUCCGGUUAAGUCCGGCAACGAGCGCAACCC
rnacentral:rRNA from 1 species